GUGGGGAAUCUUGCGCAAUGCGCGAAAGCGUGACGCAGCAACACCGCGUGAGGGAAGACGGCCUUCGGGUUGUAAACCUCUUUCAGGAGGGACGAAGGCCGGCCGGUUAACAGCCGUGCCGGCUGACGGUACCUCCACAAGAAGCACCGGCUAACUACGUGCCAGCAGCCGCGGUAAUACGUAGGGUGCAAGCGUUGUCCGGAAUCAUUGGGCGUAAAGCGCGCGUAGGCGGCCCGAUAAGUCCGCUGUAAAAGUCAACGGCUCAACUGUUGAAAGCCGGUGGAUACUGUCGGGCUAGAGUACGGAAGAGGCAAGUGGAACUCCUGGUGUAGCGGUGGAAUGCGCAGAUAUCAGGAAGAACACCUAUAGCGAAGGCAGCUUGCUGGGACGUUACUGACGCUAAGGCGCGAAAGCGUGGGGAGCAAACAGGAUUAGAAACCCGUGUAGUCC
rnacentral:rRNA from 1 species